rnacentral:rRNA from 1 species
UACGUAGGGUGCGAGCGUUAAUCGGAAUUACUGGGCGUAAAGCGUGCGCAGGCGGCUUUGCAAGACAGAUGUGAAAUCCCCGGGCUCAACCUGGGAACUGCAUUUGUGACUGCAAGGCUAGAGUACGGCAGAGGGGGAUGGAAUUCCGCGUGUAGCAGUGAAAUGCGUAGAUAUGCGGAGGAACACCAAUGGUGAAGGCAAUCCCCUGGGCCUGUACUGACGCUCAUGCACGAAAGCGUGGGGAGCAAACAGG